rnacentral:lncRNA from 1 species
AGUGAGACUAGCUGUCUUCAUCCUCCUGGUCCUCAUGCUCAUCCUCUGGGAAGUGAGCUUGCUUCUUUGGACCAUUCUGUGCAGACACUGGGUCAGGUUCUCAAUACAGUCCGUCACGGGGUGCAAACAUAGAAAGAGGACAGCUGGUAUCAGGAGGUUGUGAUGCUGAUGCUGUCUCCAUGGCACAUUUCCUGUCUCUUCUGUCCAUCAAAGACAGCCGUGCAGUGUGACAGCAUAGUCUUCAGCUAGACCACUGCGGGGAUCUCCGUCUGACAGAAUGAGAGCCAGGGGCAGAUGGGUGUGACCCCGAUGGUGUUGGUGUGGACCAUGGAAGUCCCAGAUGCUGCAGCUGUAUAUGGUGUGCUGGCCAUGGCGUGGAGAUGACCUCUCCAUUGCCCUCAACAGUGUUGGUAGGGUGUCCAUCCAGGUAGACAUCUACGGUCGACAGGCAUGAGGAGGGGCUUCUGAAGAUCACCACUUCAUUGAAGGCUUGGUAUUACAUGACCUGCUUUAGGCCCUCUGUGUUCAGGCCAUUUUCACUGAGGCCAUUAUGAUACCAUCAAGUUAAACUUAUACUACAACCUAAAUUUGAAUUCAUGUGGAUGGGCCUGAAUAUUUGCAAGUAUUAUUUAUUGUUAGCUUGCCUUGUUUUGAAGAAUGUAAAAUUUAUUAUUAUUAUUAUUAUUAUUA